rnacentral:rRNA from 1 species
UACAGAGAGUGCAAACGUUGUUCGGAAUCACUGGGCAUAAAGCGCACGUAGGCGGCUUAGCAAGUCGGAAGUGAAAUCCCUCGGCUCAACCAAGGAAGUGCUUUCGAAACUGCUGAGCUUGAGUACUUAAGAGGAUCGCGGAAUUCCGAGUGAGAGGUGAAAUUCGUAGAUAUCGGGAAGAACACCAGUGGCGAAGGGCGACUCA